UAAAAAAUCGUGACUCGCGGGUGCCAUAGAAGAAACGCAGAUAUUUUUUAAAGACCGUUUGCGUUUCUCUAGCAUUUCCCAGUGAGUCACAAUUUGAACCUAAAGUAAGCCCAUUUACAUAUGGGCCUCUCUACUGUCCGGACACUUUUGCCUCGGACAAAAACCUACCCUUUGCAUUAUUUUAAAAUUCAACAAAAAAUUAUGGUUGUUCCUGGCACCCGAGAGUGUUGAAGUAAUUCAAACAAGUCGUGCCUCAAAGAAAUCUCCGCUGCCAACUAAGUUGCCGAACCCCAGCGAAGGCAUGAUUCCUGAAAGGUUGCUGUUUAACCCUAAUCCCCUUGUCUGUCAGCUGAAAGCCUCGUUUUCAUGUUCCAAGACUCUCUUACUUUCCUGACUUGUUCAAGAGAAGACUAUCUCUGUUUCGUUAACUGAAUUAGUGCAUUAUUCCACACACUUGAUAAAGAGAGAACCUACGAAAAAAUGUUCAUUCAAAUCGAAUGAAAAUUUGACCACUUUUCGCCUUGCGAAAACAUUGGUUUCCUAUAAGGUUCUCUUGGAUGUCCGGACACUUUCGGUGCCUACUGUAUAAAAAAUAGUACAAAAAACUUGACGUCGACAAAAAUGAUGCAAAACAGGUGACUAAGGUGACUACACUUGGACUCCGAUACGAUAACGGUAAGAAAUAAAUUUCCAUGGUAACCACCAAGAUAAUAAAGACCUAAUUAAGAGAUAUAUUGACGUAACAACAAUAGCGACCGCAACAUCAAUAUGUUUUUUAGGCUUUUAAAAUUCCGUGGAAUUCCACUAUGGUAGGGGCAGCGUUCGAAAGAUCAAUUGCGAUUUAAAUCGAAAAUGAUUUAAAUCGCGAUUUAAAUCAACUGGUCUGUGAUUUUGAUUUUGAUCUAAGUCACUUUUUUUAAUUUUUUUGUGUGAUUUUAUGAUUUUAAAUCACAUUUUCACAAAUUAAAAUCAUUUUUUAGAUUUCUGCCGACAGGCAGAGCUAUAGUUGACAUCUAUAACUCUGCGACAGGUGACAGAUAACAAAGAUUUUGUCAAAUUGGCAAUAUUGCACAAUAAUUUUUUUCCAUAUUAAACAUCGGCUACUUAUAAAUCCUGUCACUUCUGUUACUGUCUUGUCAAUUCUGUCAUAUCCGUGUGUCAGAUUCAGAUAGUGAUGCUACUGUUAAUCAAGCUACGGUUGUUCAGUGGUUUCAGAUAGGGAUAUUAAGCAAGCAGCUUCAAGCAGCUACUUCAAAUUGGCAGCGCCACUUUAAGAUCCAUAAAAAGGAAUAUAUUAAGUAUUUAGAAGAACUAGCCAUCUUAAAUCAAGCCAAAGCUCAGAAGAGCAAGAGAGUUGAGACACCAUCCAAGACGCGAUUGUGUGAUGAGCAGAAACAAGCUCUUAAGAUUAAAAAAAAGAAGAAUUCUUCGCACGAAAAUCAACCAAAUUACCAAAAACUGUACAAGACUGUUUACACCAAUCUAGGGGAGGGGGGGUUAGUUGUCAGGUGCAUUUUUCCUGAAUUUUUUUGAAUAUUUUGAAUACUACUGGUAAAAUGAA